CAGCCGCCGCGGUAAUACGAAGGGUGCAAGCGUUACUCGGAAUUACUGGGCGUAAAGCGUGCGUAGGUGGUGGUUUAAGUCCGUUGUGAGGGCCCUGGGCUCAACCUGGGAAUUGCAGUGGAUACUGGGUCACUAGAGUGUGGUAGAGGAUAGUGGAAUUUCCGGUGUAGCAGUGAAAUGCGUAGAGAUCGGAAGGAACAUCUGUGGCGAAGGCGACUAUCUGGGCCAACACUGACACUGAGGCACGAGAGCGUGGGGAGCAAACAGGAUUAGAUACCCCAGUAGUCCCUGUCUCUUAUAU
rnacentral:rRNA from 1 species